rnacentral:lncRNA from 1 species
UGUAAACAUUGGCCAGCUGACUCUGUGACGUCACGCACACAAACAGAGGAAAUAUGUGGGCCAUGGAGCACAUGGUCCUGCUGCACUACAUUAUUAGUGAUAUAUUCUCAAACAAACAAACGACAAUCUCUGGUCUUGAUAAGGAUUGGAUAAACCAAAGCCAGGAAGAGUCGACAGCCUUUUACACAGGCUCCAUCUGUACCUGCGAUGAGUGAGGAAGCUGCCAUUGGCAUGUCCUGAUCCAUCACAUCCCGGCGUGGGGCAGGUCGGGCCCUCAGUCUUGAAGGCCUUCCAGGAGAAUGGUGUGCCAUUUAACAUGCCCUCUUUCUGCCGGCGUGCUGCCAGCGGGCACCCAUAGGCACUGCGGUGGGUGGCGUAUUUCCCACUGAUAUGCCCCAGACUGUCACAACCUGGCACCGGGCACCUAUAGAGAGGUAAGUGAUGAGCUGGCAGUCAGUUUUGGCAUUCUCUAAAGACGCAGGCUGUGUUUAGUAAAUCCGCUGGCUUUGUGCAGCAUAGUAGGUUUAUUAAAAACGUACUUUAU